rnacentral:miRNA from 14 species
CUACCGAUUUGGUUUGGGAUUGGC